UGGGGAAUAUUGCACAAUGGGGGAAACCCUGAUGCAGCAACGCCGCGUGAGUGAUGACGGCCUUCGGGUUGUAAAGCUCUGUCUUCAGGGACGAUAAUGACGGUACCUGAGGAGGAAGCCACGGCUAACUACGUGCCAGCAGCCGCGGUAAUACGUAGGUGGCAAGCGUUGUCCGGAUUUACUGGGCGUAAAGGGAGCGUAGGCGGACUUUUAAGUGAGAUGUGAAAUACCCGGGCUCAACCUGGGUGCUGCAUUUCAAACUGGAAGUCUAGAGUGCAGGAGAGGAGAGUGGAAUUCUUAGUGUAGCGGUGAAAUGCGUAGAGAUUAGGAGGAACACCAGUGGCGAAGGCGACUCUCUGGACUGUAACUGACGCUGAGGCUCGAAAGCGUGGGGAGCAAACA
rnacentral:rRNA from 1 species